CCUACGGGUGGCAGCAGUAGGGAAUCUUCCACAAUGGGCGAAAGCCUGAUGGAGCAACGCCGCGUGGGGGAUGAAGGCCUUCGGAUCGUAAAACCCUGUUGUUAGAGAAGAAAGUGCGGGAGAGUAACUGUUCACGUUUCGACGGUAUCUAACCAGAAAGCCACGGCUAACUACGUGCCAGCAGCCGCGGCAAUACGUAGGUGGGAAACGUUAUCGGGAUUUAUUGGGAGUAAAGGGAACGCAGGUGGUCUUUUAAGUUUGAUGUGAAAGCUGUCGGCUAAACCGGAGUAGUGCAUUGGAUACUGGGAGACUUGAGUGCAGAAGAGGAGAGUGGAACUCAAUGUGUAGCGGUGAAAUGCGUAGAUAUAAGGAAGAACACCGGUGGCGAAGGCAGCUCACUGGUCUGUAACUGACGCUGAGGUUCGAAAGCGUGGGUAGCAAACAGGAUUAGAUACCCUAGUAGUC
rnacentral:rRNA from 1 species